AAGAGCACAAUUUCUUAUAAAGGCAAUCUUCCCUCCAUCUCACUGUGAACCAUGCAGUUAUCCCAUUCAAGUGGGGUGAUACUAGUUUUCUCCAUUUUGUUUACAGCAACUUUAGGAGCUCCUCUAGCUAAUAGAGGGGAAAAGGAUGACUAUCCACUGGAGUUACUAUUCGACCCAGAACCAUUCAAGAAGCAUAUCACCUUAGUGGAUGAUUAUGGAGUGAAACCAGUACCACCUAAAGUGCCGUCCUGCCUGCGAUCUCAGAGGGAGGGAACCUAUCGGCUGAUGGAGGAGGAGGACUGGUAGUUGUCAGCAAUGCUGCCUCUUCACUUCCAGGCAAUGAUAAAUAAACUCACCAUGAGUUAGAACUGUACAGGCAAUGAUAAACAAACUAAAAUGAAA